CGGAGCCGGUGCCGGAACCGGGAGCAGCAGCAGCAGCAGCGGCCGCGGCUGCGGGGGACGCGGCCCGUGGCUGAGAGGAGCAAAGCCGCUGCCGCGUCCGUGAGGCCUCCGCGGGGCCCGGCCUGAGGCCCGAGGCCCGAGGAGACCUCACCAUGUUCAAGAAACUGAAGCAGAAGAUCAGCGAGGAGCAGCAGCAGGCGGCGGCCCAGGUCCUUUCCACUUCCCCUGCCCCAGCAGGGACCAGGAGCCGGACAUCUUCUCUUACAGAACAACAUGAUGAUGGUACGCCCAACCGAGAGCUUCUAGCUGGGAUUUUAGCAGAGCCUGCUUUUCUCUCUGAGUACACUAUCUUUGCUUUGGAUCUCUCCAAACCACCCAAACCACAGAUUGCCUGUGUGACUGCAUCUAGCCAACCUCCUCCGAAGCUAGCUGACGGCAUUAAUGGAAAUGAAGCAACUCCCCAGUCGGGUGAGACGCAGUCUUUUGCGCAGAAGCUGCAGCUCCGAGUUCCAUCAAUGGAGUCUUUGUUUCGAAGUCCAAUCAAGGAAUCCUUGUUCCGUUCUUCUUCAAAAGAAUCUCUAGUCCGAAGUUCCUCGAGAGAAUCUCUGAAUCGCCUCGAUCUCGACUCUUCCACUGUGUUGGAUCCCCCGUCUGACGUUGAAAGUGAGGCCGAGGAGGCUGUGGGAAGCAUGGACGGUCUUAGCAAAGAGCAACUCUGCCAGCGGGUACGGAGGAUGGAACGCAGCUUAAACAGCUACCGGGGCAAAUAUGCAGAGCUUGUUACUUCCUAUCAGACUGUCCAGAGAGAAAAGAAGAAGCUACAGGGUCUUUUGAGCCAGAGUCAAGAUAAAGCUCUCAGGAGAAUUGGAGAAUUACGAGAGGAGCUCCAGAUGGACCAGCAGGCAAAGAAACAUCUCCAAGAAGAGUUUGAUGCAUCACUAGAGGAGAAGGACCAGUACAUCAGUGUUCUGCAGACUCAGGUUUCACUACUGAAGCAUCGCUUGCAAAGUGGCCAGAUGACUUUGGAUUUAUCUAAACCACCCUUGCAGGGGGAACUCCAACCUGAAACCCUCCCCAAAGAAACUAGUGAAGAGAAUGCACAGAAUGAUUUAGACCAUGGAGUGUCAGCAGAGGGAGAUGGAGAUGCUGCUAAAACUUUAGAAACUCUUCAGCAGAGAGUUAAACGACAAGAGAAUCUCCUUCAGCGGUGCAAGGAAAUCAUUAAGUCGCACAAGGAACGCUCCACCCUGCUAACCAAUGAGAAGGAAGCCCUCCAGGAGCAGCUAGAUGAACGGCUUCAAGAACUGGAGAAGAUGAAGGAACUUCACAUGGCUGAGAAAACGAAAUUGAUUACUCAGCUCCGGGAUGCAAAGAACUUGAUUGAGCAACUUGAACAAGAUAAGGGAAUGGUAAUAGCAGAGACCAAACGUCAAAUGCACGAAACACUGGAAAUGAAAGAAGAGGAGAUUGCUCAGCUGCGUAGUCGAAUAAAGCAGAUGACAACCCAGGGAGAGGAGCUACGGGAACAGAACGAGAAAUGUGAAAAAGCUGCUUUUGAGGAACUUGAAAAAGCUUUGAGCACAGCACAAAAAACUGAAGAAGCCCGGAAAAAGAUGAAAGCAGAAAUGGAUGAACAGAUAAAAGCAAUUGAAAAAACAAGUGAGGAAGAACGUGUAAAUCUGCAGCAAGAGCUGAGCCGGGUAAAACAGGAAGUUGUAGACAUUAUGAAGAAAACGUCUGAAGAGAAAAUUGCUCAUCUACAGAAGAUGCAUGCCGGGGAGCUUGCUAACAAGGAGAAGGAGCUCAAUGAGAAACUUCAGGCUCGAGAAGAAGAAUUCCAGAGGCAAUUGAAAGCAGCUCUGGAAAAUAAUCAAACAGAGUAUCUGAAGACUACUCAAGAAAAAGAGCAGCAAGAAUCUUUAGCUCUGGAAGAAUUAGAAUUGCAGAAAAAAGCUUUACUCUUGGAAAGUGAGAAUAAGCUUCGGGACCUACAGCAAGAAGCAGAGACCUAUAGAACUAGAAUCCUGGAGUUGGAAAGCUCCCUGGUAAAGUGCUCUCAAGAUAGCAAGAAUCAGGUAGAAGAGAUGUCCUUUCAAAUGGCAUCUGAGAGAAACAAGCACAAUAUGGAAAUCACAGUCAUGGUUGAAAACCAUAAAGCAGAAUUAGAAAGUCUGCAGAGACAGCAGGAACGGCUUUGGACAGAGAAACUUGAAGUCCUAAAGCAGCACCACCAGACUGACAUGGAGAAGCUCCGGGAGAAAUGUGAAGAAGAACAAGAGGCAGUGUUGAGAGAGAAAGAGACUGUGUUCCGUAGGCACAUAGAAGAGAUGAAUGAGAAGACCCUCGAAAAGCUUGAUGUGAAGCAGACAGAGUUAGAAGCGUUGUCUGCGGAGCUGUCUGAUGUGUUAAAAGGUCGUCAGAAUCUGGAAAAGGAGCUCUCUGUCUUAAAGAACGAGACAGAUCAAGUAAAGCGGGAGCUCGAGGCGAAGCUGGAUAAACAGAGAAUUCAGCACCAGCAGCAAGUUGACAUUAUGGUUGAAGAGCAAAAACUGUCUGUCCAGAAUAUGGAGAAAGGAAUGAAAGACGAAAUCAAUCAACUUGGACUCCUGCUCAAGGAGAAGGAACGACAUUUGGAAGAGCAGCAAGCCCAGCAGCAGAAAUUAGAGGAAUCCAUUAAAAGAGCCGAAACCGAGCUUAAGCAAGCAUCAGAUAAGAUGGACAUUUUUCAGUCACACCAAAAUAACUCAAAUGAGCAGGUAAAGGCCUAUGAAAGGCAGCUGACUGAAUUGCAACAGAAGUGGAGUGAUAUGGAAGCAGAGAAAGAUCACCUUGAAAAACAGGUAGCAGAAGCUGAUGUGCAAAAGAAUCAUCUCACUGCAGAGUUGGAUUCUUACAAAACCCAGGUGCAAGAGUUGAUGCUGCAACAGGAGAAACACAGCAGAGAAAUGGAUCAAAAACUACUUUCUCUGACUGACCAAUAUGAGUCUCAACUUAAAGAUUUCAGCAUAGAACGAGAACAGAUCAAGCAAAGCUUGGCUGAAAGGGAAAAUGAAAUUUUACACAUGAAAGAACUACAGAACCAGGAAGCGGACCAUUUCAGGCAAAGACUCUCAGCCAAAGAAGAAAGCAUGAAGACUCUGGAAAAGGAAUAUGAAAACAAACUGAAGAAUCAAGAAAUCAAGAUGGAAAAAAUUAAGCAGAAAGCAAAGGAAGUGCAAGAAACUUUCAAGAAGAAACUGUCGGAUCAGGAAGUUAAGCUGAAAAAAGAACUGGAAAACACACACUUAGAGUUCAGCCAGAAGGAGAAACAGUUUAAUGCAAAAAUGUUGGAGAUGGCCCAGGCUAGUUCUGCCGGAAUGGAGGAUGCGAUUUCAGAACUGAAGAAGAACCAGAAGGAGCAAGUGGAAAGUCUCACGGCAGCCCAUCAGCGAGAGCUGAACAGCAUCGUGUUGGAUUGGGAAAGGAAGGUCAAUCAGCAAGCCGAGGAGCUCCAGGAGAAACACGAGAGAGAGCUCCAGGAGAAGGAGCGAGAAGUGGCCGAGCUCAGGCAGGAGGUGCUGGCCAUCAGGGCUGACCAAGAAAUGGCCAGCAAAGAAGCAGCCCUUUUGAAGGAAGAAGGCACGAAGCAGGGUGCGCUUGUCCAUGAGUUACAGGAGCAGCUGAGGCAGAAAUCUGCUCAGAUCGAGAUGCUGACCCAAAACGGAACUGACGCGAAAGCCCGGCUCGAAGCGCUAGAGGCUGACCUGGAUCAGUCUGUGAGAGAGAGAGCCGCUCUUCAUGAACAGAUUAAGGAGUUGAAGAUACUGGAAGAAAAAGAUAAGCAGAAGCUUUUGGAGGUGACUGAGAAGCUGAAAACUACUGAAGAACAACUCCAGGAUUUGAGAUCUUCAUGUGAAGGAUAUGAAAAGAAAGUCGAGGCAGACCACUUGCACUUUCAGAAACUGUCUGAAAAAUUAGUGGCACAGUUGCACACGUACUGCCAGGAAGCCGAGGCCUUACUGCAAACCAAAACCAGUGAACUGAUGGAGAAAAGUAACGGUAAAAUCGACGCCGCGCUUUCUAGGGUUUCUUAUUGCCAGCUUCAGACAGCUAAAGUGAAAGAAGCGCUAUCAAUUCAGACUCAUAAAAUCCCUGACCUAGAAGCAAAGCUGAGGGAGGUGACAGAACAACAAAAUGUUUUAAAUAAUUCUUUACAACAUUCAGUUCUUCAGUUGGAAGAAAAAGAGAAUCAGAUUAAGAGCAUGAGAGCUGACAUCGAAGGCCUGGUCACAGAAAAAGAAGCAUUGCAGAGAGAAGGAGGCCAUCAGCAACAGGCUGCCUCUGAGAAGGAAUCUUGUAUCACUCAGUUGAAGAAGGAGUUGGCUGAAAACAUCAACGUUGUCACCCUCAUGAAAGAGGAGCUUCAGGAAAAGAAAUCAGAAAUCAGCGACCUUCGUGAGCAUGUGAAGGAGCUGGAUGCUCAACUCCAAAGCAGCGUCAGCCUGACAGAAAAGGAGGAGGCCCAACGAGGCCUGCUCAACCAAGUCCAAGAUUUAUCCUUGGCAGUUGACAGCUUGACCAAGGAAAAGGCAUCUGCUCUUGAACAGGCUGAUCACUGGAUGAAUAAAUUCUCUGAGUGGAAGAAGAAAGCACAGUCGAAGUUUACACAGAAUCAGAAUGCUAUUAAAGACUUGCAGAUGCAAUUAGAGCUAAAAACAAAGGAAUCUAGUGAAAAAGAUGAGCAGAUAAAUUCAUUAAAAGAGAACCUUGAUCGGGAAAAAGAAAGUUUCCAAAGUUGGAAGAGUGAAUUCGAAGAAAGGGAGAGUAAAAAGGAGAAACACGAACAUGAUUUGCUAGCAGAGUUAAACAUGCAGAGAGCAAGAAUUGCAGAGUUAGAGGAGUGUGUUACCCAGAAAACAACACAAAAUAGGAGCUUAGCAGAAGAACUUACAAGACGCUGUGAAAAUGAAGGGCAGCUCCAGCAUGCCCAAGAGCGAGGGGAGGAACAGGUGCUGCAGCUCCAGAAGCAAGUGGACUCCAUGAGAUCUGAGCUGGAGGCCCAGCAGAGGGAGAUGGAGCACGCCAUCGCUUCCGGUGACAAAAGCAAAGCGGAUGAGUUAAAGGCGCUGCAGGAGCGACUGGAUGCAGAAACUGCUGCAAAGUUGGCAGAACUGAAGAAGAAGGCGGAACAAAAGAUUGCCACCAUCAAGAAGCAGUUGCUGUCCCAAAUGGAAGAAAAGGAGGAGGAGCACAAAAGAGAAGCAGAAAAUCAGGUGAUGGAGAUGACCCGGCAGUUGCAGGAGAAAGAACGUGAGGUUCAGCACCUUCGUGAGCAGCUUGGGUCUGUAGCUGGACAGGCUGUGGCAGCCUCCGCUGCAGAUCUCACGGUGCAGGCAGCAAAGGGGGAGAUUGACGGUGAGAAGAUGCCUCAGGUUGAGACACCGGAACUUCAGGGGAAGAAAAGGCAACGGGAGGAGCAAACAGUGGUCAGUUGUCUUCAACAGGAACCUGAGGAAAAUAGCCACAAGUGUUAUUCUCUCGUUGCUGGAGAGCAGGGUGUGGGGGAGAAUGAUAGUGCCAGGCAGCAGCAAGACUUAGAGAAUGGCAUCGGAGUGGUCCAGAAAAUCCUCCAGGACAAGGGCCAAAUGGGCCAGACUUUAGAAGGAGAGGUACAGGGGUCGGAUGCCCACCGUGCCGGAGUUGGAGCAGAGCUGCUGACGUCCAACCCCGGAUACUUCAAGGCUUCUCAGCAGCAGCCAGAGGAGAAAGAGAAGCCAGUGGAAGGGGUAGGGGAAAAUGUGGAAAGCAGCACAGAAGCCCAGUUUCUCCCAGGCACACAGAGCCAGCAGGAGGACCUGAGGUCGGAACUAGAGGAGGCUCAGCGGGACAGGCAGCGGCUGCGCAAGGAGGUGAAUCGCCUGCAGAGGGAUUUGCGGACUCUGAGGAAGGAGCAUCAGCAAGAGUUGGAAGUAACCAAGAAAGAAUGUGAAGAAGAAAUGGAAAAGAAAAUGAAAAUGGAACAGGAAGACAAUGAGCUGAAGCAUAACUCCAAGUUAAAACAACUAAUGAGGGAGUUUAAUACACAGCUGGCUCAGAAGGAACAAGAAUUAGAAGCAACGAUCAAAGAAACCAUCAGCAAGGCCCAAGAAGUGGAGGCAGAACUCUUAGAAAGCCAUCAAGCAGAAACAAAUCAUCUGCAUAAGAGAAUUGCUGAUAAAGAAGAAGAUUUAAAAAGAACAGCCAAAAGAUACGAAGAAAUUCUUGAUGCACGAGAAGAAGAAAUGACUGCUAAAGUUAUUGAACUACAAACACAGCUGGAACAGCUGCAGAAGGAAUACCAGCAUAGACUCCAUACAGAAGAGGAGAUUCAGAGCAGUGAGAAAGUAACAAUUAGGGAUCUCCAGACCCAGCUGGCCCAGAAAACUACUCUUGUCAAUGAUUCCAAGUUGAAAGAGCAGGAGUUCAGAGAACAGAUUCAUACAUUAGAAGAUCGCUUAAAGAAGUAUGAGAAGAACAUGUAUGUUACAACAGUGGGGAUGCCUUACCAAGGGGCGAAUUUGUGCCACGCUGAUGUCUCUCUAUUCGGAGAGCCAACUGAGUUUGAGUACUUGAGAAAAGUGCUCUUUGAAUACAUGAUGGGUCGUGAAACGAAGAUUUUUGGAUACACAUGUGUCCAGUAUGUGCCUUCCUAACAGGUUAGCUAGCACUUUAAUGUUGCAUGUUUAUAAGGUAUUUGUAAUAUUUAAGUAGCACAAGUAGAUUUUUGUGACCUUGAAUGAUCUCUGUCAAGUGCAUCAAAAACAAUUCUCUUUUUAAGCAGCUUUCUUAAGAUGGAUCUUUAAGGUCUCUUAAGAAUUUUGACUUUGUAUGACCAUGCUAGAAGAUGAACUCUGAAAUAAUUAGGAUGAAAUAUUUCUUUUGGCAUGUUUUAGACACCAACAUGUUUGAAUUUCUAUGCUCUCCUCAUCAGUAAGGUGAAAGAGUUGAAACAAGACUUUCUCUAAGCUGCUUCUAAAAAUCUUUUGAGAGCUGAAUUAUAAUUUUGAGUCUUGUUUUUCAGGCUCUCAUGGUAGUCUUGAGGGAUAUGAGAAUUGGGAAAACCAAGAUUUGUAGUUUAUAAUAUUAGUUCUUGGUUGUGGGACAUUCUUAGUGUAACUGGGCCUUAUGUGACUCUAUAGUAAGAAAAAAAAGGCAUUCAAAUGGCAAACUUUUUAAUUGGGAAAGAAUUAUGGCAUUGAUUUUUGUCACAUGUGAUCAUGACAGACAGUGUAUCAUUUCAAACACCCCCCCAUCCCAUACACACACAGAUACAUAGAGCAAACAAAUACCCAGGAAGAUGUAUUUACUCUGUAUGUGCAAAACCACACAGUAGCAGAGGACAAAUGCUUGUGAGGUUCUCUCUCCCAACUCCCCAUACAAUAUAAGAAUAGACUGUAGCAUCCCUGACAGCUGGACAUGAUUUUAUAUUUGAGCACUGAAUUUGUUAUUUUAUUUUCAUAAGUGGUGUCUUCUUUCCUCUCUGUUUCCCUCAAAAAUCCUCAACUUGAGAACCAAAUAGGGAAAGUUUCAUCCUUUGAGGAGAAUUUUCCAGGCGCUUAUGGGUGACAGUCUGACUUACGACGAUGGCAAAAGUCAUCACUACAGUCCUGAAGUUUCCUGCUGAUCAGACUCAGAAAAUCUUAGAACGAGAAGAUGCCCGGCCACUGUCAUGGCUACGAUUGUCAUCUUGAAGAAAUUGGGAGGAAGAGUGUUCUUUGAUUAUGCUGCUUAAAAAACUGCCCAUGUCUCUGUUUUUCUUGGAGAAAAGGCCUGACAGAUGGCAAGCUGCUUUUCAGGUCCCUAGAGAGAGGCGGUGAGGAGGCAGCGAGAUGACACUGGAUCUCGAAGACAGCUAGCUAAAGUCACCUGCUGAAGGAUGAACUGGCAACACUUGGUUCUUUCCCUUCAGCUGGGUGGCAGCACUUUGGGGGGGGAGAGGGUGAGUACUGGCUGAAAAUGAAUGAAUAUGAAUCCCAGAGGGUUCAUAUCCCUUUGUGGUUCUCUCAUCCCUCUUUCUCCCUCAUUUUAAGAUUUGAACUUGAUGGUUUGCCUCUUUUAUUUAUUUUAGGGUGAUUUUGGGGUUUUUUGGGGGGGAGUUUCUGUUUUAGUUUAAAUGACUUGUGCAAUACAUUUUGAGGUGGAAUUUGAUAGAUUUUUUUCCUGAUGAAUUAGCGGAAUUUGACAUGAUCCAGAUUUGAUUUGUUGCUUUUUUUGCUAAAGACUCGUUCUUUAAGCUUUUGCUUCUCAUGAAUCCAAACGGCAGUACCUCAUUUGUUUACUUCGCUUUUGUACUCAUAUUUUCCAGGAAAAAAAAUCCUGUAUAUUGUAAAUAGUUAAUACAUAACUGUAUCAUAUGCUGAUCUGUGACUGUUGGCAAUGUCAAUCUAGGAUGAACAGAGAAAAAAAAUAAAGUUUUAUUUACUGUAUAAAA